AGCAGUCGCCGCGGGAAUACGUAGGUGGCGAGCGUUGUCCGGAAUUAUUGGGCGUAAAGGGAGCGCAGGCGGACAUAUAAGUCCAUCUUAAAAGUGCGGGGCUCAACCCCGUGAGGGGAUGGAAGCUGUAUGCCUUGAGUGCAGGAGAGGAAAGCGGAAUUCCCAGUGUAGCGGUGAAAUGCGUAGAUAUUGGGAGGAACACCAGUGGCGAAGGCGGCUUUCUGGACUGCAACUGACGCUGAGGCUCGAAAGCCAGGGGAGCGAACGGGAUUAGAUACCCCCGUAGUCCCUGUCUCUUAUACA
rnacentral:rRNA from 1 species